rnacentral:rRNA from 1 species
UAGGGAAUCUUCGGCAAUGGGGGGAACCCUGACCGAGCAACGCCGCGUGAGUGAAGAAGGUUUUCGGAUCGUAAAGCUCUGUUGUUAAGGAAGAACGUGUGUGAGAGUGGAAAGUUCACACAGUGACGGUACUUAACCAGAAAGGGACGGCUAACUACGUGCCAGCAGCCGCGGUAAUACGUAGGUCCCGAGCGUUGUCCGGAUUUAUUGGGCGUAAAGCGAGCGCAGGCGGUUAGAUAAGUCUGAAGUGAAAGGCAGUGGCUCAACCAUUGUAGGCUUUGGAAACUGUUUAACUUGGGUGCAGAAGGGGAGAGUGGAAUUCCAUGUGUAACGGUGAAAUGCGUAGAUAUAUGGAGGAACACCGGUGGCGAAAGCGGCUCUCUGGUCUGUAACUGACGCUGAGGCUCGAAAGCGUGGGGAGCGAACAGGAUUAGAUACCCUGGUAGUCCACGCCGUAAACGAUGAGUGCUAGGUGUUAGGUCCUUUCCGGGACUUAGUGCCGCAGCUAACGCAUUAAGCACUCCGCCUGGGGAGUACGACCGCAAGGUUG